CCUACGGGAGGCAGCAGUGGGGAAUAUUGCACAAUGGGCGAAAGCCUGAUGCAGCAACGCCGCGUGAGCGAUGAAGGCCUUCGGGUCGUAAAGAUCUGUCCUCAAGGAAGAUAAUGACGGUACUUGAGGAGGAAGCCCCGGCUAACUACGUGCCAGCAGCCGCGGUAAUACGGAGGGGGCUAGCGUUAUCCGUAACUACUGGGGGAAAGGGGUGCGGAGGUGGGUUCUUGAGUAGGAGGUGAAAGGCUAGGGCUCAACCGUAGUAAGCUUUUGAAACUGGUAAACUUGAGUGCAGGAGAGGGGCGUGGAAUUCCUAGUGUAGCCGUGAAAUGCGUAGAUAUUAGGAGGAACACCAGUUGCGAAGGCGGCUCUCUGGACUGUAACUGACACUGAGGCACGAAAGCGUGGGGAGCAAACAGGAUUAGAUACCCCAGUAGUC
rnacentral:rRNA from 1 species